GCCCCGGUGGUGAAACUGGUAGACACACAGGACUUAAAAUCCUGGGCUUCGGUCAAACGGGCGUGCCAGUUCGAUUCUGGCCCGGGGCACCA
rnacentral:tRNA from 2 species